rnacentral:rRNA from 1 species
CCUACGGGAGGCAGCAGUGGGGAAUAUUGGGCAAUGGGCGCAAGCCUGACCCAGCAACGCCGCGUGAAGGAAGAAGGCUUUCGGGUUGUAAACUUCUUUUCUCAGGGACGAAGCAAGUGACGGUACCUGAGGAAUAAGCCACGGCUAACUACGUGCCAGCAGCCGCGGUAAUACAUAGGUGGCAAGCGUUAUCCGGAUUUACUGGGUGUAAAGGGCGUGUAGGCGGGAAAGCAAGUCAGAUGUGAAAACCAUGGGCUCAACCUGUGGCCUGCAUUUGAAACUGUUUUUCUUGAGUACUGGGGAGGCAGACGGAAUUCCUAGUGUAGCGGUGAAAUGCGUAGAUAUUAGGAGGAACACCAGUGGCGAAGGCGGUCUGCUGGACAGCAACUGACGCUGAGGCGCGAAAGCGUGGGGAGCAAACAGGAUUAGAUACCCCGGUAGUC